GGAUGUGAGGGCGAUCUGGCUGCGACAUCUGUCACCCCAUUGAUCGCCAGGGUUGAUUCGGCUGAUCUGGCUGGCUAGGCGGGUGUCCCCUUCCUCCCUCACCGCUCCAUGUGCGUCCCUCCCGAAGCUGCGCGCUCGGUUGAAGAGGACGACCUUCCCCGAUAGAAGGAAGACCGUCCUUCGGUCAAGGGUAUACGAGUAGCUGCGCUCCCCUGCUAGAACCUCCAAACAAGUCUCAAGAAGUAGGUGAAGGAAAAGGCGGAUAUGAAAAUAAUAAGAUUUCUGGGCCUGCGCCACUUGGCAGAAAGAAAGCACUG
rnacentral:snRNA from 1 species